rnacentral:tRNA from 1 species
GGGGGUGUUGCUCAGUGGUAGAGCGCAUGCUUAGCAUGCCUGAGGCCCUGGGUUCCAGCCCCAGCACUACCA